GACGAACGCUGGCGGCGUGCUUAACACAUGCCAGUCGAACGGAAAGGCCUCUUUCGGGGGGUACUCGAGUGGCGAACGGGUGAGUAACACGUGAGUAACCUGCCCUUGACUUUGGGAUAACUUCAGGAAACUGGGGCUAAUACCGGAUAGGAGCUCCUGCUGCAUGGUGGGGGUUGGAAAGUUUCGGCGGUUGGGGAUGGACUCGCGGCUUAUCAGCUUGUUGGUGGGGUAGUGGCUUACCAAGGCUUUGACGGGUAGCCGGCCUGAGAGGGUGACCGGCCACAUUGGGACUGAGAUAAGGCCCAGACUCCUACGGGAGGCAGCAGUGGGGAAUAUUGCACAAUGGGUGGAAGCCUGAUGCAGCAACGCCGGGUGCGGGAUGACGGCCUUCGGGUUGUAAACCGCUUUCGCUCAUGACGAAGCUUUGUGUGACGGUAGUGGGUAAAGAAGCACCGGCUAACUACGUG
rnacentral:rRNA from 1 species